GGAGGAGCACAUUACCCCUCCAUUCCAGGCAGCUAGCAAGCUAGAAAGCUCCCAAGCUUUCCUGAGGGCACCACUAGCACAAAAGGCUCUGGCAGUCAAACUGUAAUUAUUCCCAGGGGACAAUCCUCCGGAAGGGCCUCAUCUAUCCUGGCCAUCUGCCUUGGUCACAGCCAGCAAUGCUCCCAGCAGCAGCAGCAGAAGACUCCAGCACACAGACACAGCCGUGCCAGGGCUCCGUGGUUCGUCUGGCCUGGACAAAGCUGUCAGAACAAGAUAUGCCAGGCUCAGAGUUCGAUCUGCUGCUGAAGAUGUGAGAGUCUAAUGUCAUCUUUCAAAUUUAAAUACCAAAGGUAUAAAGGAAGGUUUUACUUGUCUCCAGCAAGAAGCAAAUCUGACCCAAAGCUAGACUGGGAAUUGAAGACCUUACUUUGUCAUAAAACCAGCUUUUCAAGUUUGGAUUCGUAUCUUCAGCCUACAGGCAGACUUGUCCCAGCUGCAUUGUCAUCCUGGCACCUGGUGCAACACAGUGCUACUCAUCUAGAAUAGCCAAAACAGUCAGGCUGGAGGAAAAAGGCGACAGUGGAUCUUGGGAUUUGAAGGCUUGGAUUCAUUUAAGAGAAACAUAAAUAAAAUAUUGCAGCCAUAACCAAAGCAUAAGCAAAAAGAGAGUGCAUCUGGGCCACUGUGAAUCCCAGCAGGGAAUGCGGGAAGUCUGUGAACUCAGCCAGCAAGAUCCUCUGGUCAUUUUAUGCACACACCCUUACUUUACUACCUCAUGGACCCCUGAAAAAGCCUCUCUUCCAUCUUUGGGCAAAAAGCUGUUGCUGGCUACUCCCAUCUCCCUGAGCCUGUACACGCUGCUAACCCAUUGUAGUGCAACCUGUGGUGAGGCUGUUGAGCCCAUCUCAGCACGGCGCCAACCCACCACUGCCUUCACCUUGGCUGGGAUACUGAGAAGAGGCUGCAAUACCUAUUAAUCAUAAACCCUGGUGAUUAAAUCCAUCUAGCUAUUUCACUCAGCUACAAGCAGGGGCAAGGGCUGUCCUGGAAGCCAGCUCUGUCCUGCUGUCCAGCUGCCUGGCCAUGCACACAAAGCCAAGGAAAGAACUGGGUCUUCAUCUCUGUUUAACUUGUUGCUUGUCAUGGGAUUUCCACCAUGGUAUAACAUUGCCAAGUGUGAGAUUUUUCAGGAUGACAGAAGAAGCUAAAAACUUCCAUCAAGCCUGCUAAAACCUUCACUGAACAUAGGCAGGGGCGAAUGAAGAAGGAUGGACCCUGUUCCUGUCCUGCAGACACCCUGCUUCACACCCUGGGAAAAGGGUAUGUCAGGAUCGCAAGCACAAGUCCAGAACUGUUUAGAAAAUGAAAACCAAAGCUCCCUUGAACAUCUUUGUUUCUAUUCUUAACCACAAUUUAAUUUGCAUUGAUGUUUCCUGACCAAUUCUCUCCUCAAAAUAAUUGAUGGGAAAAAGAUCAAGAGAUGUAAUUAAAAGAGAAACAAACAGAAAACAAAGGGAAGAGGGUAAAUGGGCAUGUGACUUUGGGUCAGGGAAGGAAGAGGAGCAGGUGGUAGAACUGAUGAGGGAGAUUUAAUGAACUGCAAUUGACUUCAAAUAACAAAGGAGGAGGAACCUAAUUCUACCGUUGGAUCUGUACACAUAUGGACUUAUCAUAACAAAUGGUAAUCAAUCCAUCAGCCUUAAAUUAAAGAUAAGGUGGGCAGGAAGGAAGGGAUGGAAUUUAUUCUCUCCUUCCCAUCCCUCCCCCACCAAACAAAAUCUGUUUGCAUGUGUCCGUGUCUUUGUUGUCAGAAUUAGCAUCUGCCAUCUCUCCACUCUCAACAAAAGCAGUCACCUUCCUGUGCUUCACUAUGCCACUGAGGCAGGCCCCUUUAGAAGCUUCCCCUGGAAUUCAGACUCCUGGUUACCCUGAUUCUGCAGUGUGUUUCACUUGACACUGAUCAAGGCUCAGCGGCCUCAGAAAUAUGCUUGUAGGACUCUGUGUGUAAAUGCUCGCUGAGCUUUAAUCAAAUGCACAUCACAGAGAGUCCUGUGUGACAGAAAGCAGAACCACCACUCCUCAGACCUGCCAAGAAGAGCCUCAUCUGCAAUACAAGCACUUUUCCUCUUUUGUAUCAUUUUGUCCCUCACUUUCUCAUUGUAGUACAAGCUGCAGAAAUAUUCUAGGGUUUAUAUGUUAUCUCCUUGUUUCAAGGUGAAGACAAGUUCACUAUGCUUUCUAAAUAUAU